rnacentral:rRNA from 1 species
GACGAACGCUGGCGGCGUGCUUAACACAUGCAAGUCGAACGAUGAAGCCCUUCGGGGUGGAUUAGUGGCGAACGGGUGAGUAACACGUGGGCAAUCUGCCCUUCACUCUGGGACAAGCCCUGGAAACGGGGUCUAAUACCGGAUAAUACUUUCUCCCUCCUGGGAGAAGGUUGAAAGCUCCGGCGGUGAAGGAUGAGCCCGCGGCCUAUCAGCUAGUUGGUGGGGUAAUGGCCUACCAAGGCGACGACGGGUAGCCGGCCUGAGAGGGCGACCGGCCACACUGGGACUGAGACACGGCCCAGACUCCUACGGGUGGCAG